GCUGGAUAUGGUGGUGCACACUUGUAGUCCCAGCUACCUGGGAGGCUGAGACAGGAGGAUCGCUUGAGCCUAACGGUUAUGGCCUUUAGUAUGCUAUGCCGAUCAGGAGUCUGAACUAAGUUUGACAUUAAUACGGUGACCUCCCAAGAGCAGGGGUCCACCAGAUUGCCUAAGGAGGAAUGAACUGGCCCAGGUGGGAAAUGGAAGAGGUAAAACUUCUGUGCUGAUCAGCAGUGGGAUCACAGCUGUGAAUAGCCAGCCACUGCAUUCCUGCCUGGGCAACAUAGUGAGACAGAUCCUGUCUCU
rnacentral:SRP_RNA from 1 species